CCUACGGGCGGCAGCAGUGGGGAAUAUUGCACAAUGGGGGAAACCCUGAUGCAGCGACGCCGCGUGAGUGAAGAAGGAAUUCGUUAUGUAAAGCUCUAUCAGCAGGGAAGAAAAUGACGGUACCUGAGUAAGAAGCCCCGGCUAACUACGUGACAGCAGCCGCGGUAAUACGUAGGGGGCAAGCGUUAAGCGGAUUUACUGGGUGUAAAGGGAGCGUAGACGGCAGUGCAAGACUGGAGUGAAAGGCGGGGGCGCAACCCCCGGACUGCUCUGGAAACUGUACGGCUGGAGUGCAGGAGAGGUAAGUGGAAUUCCUAGUGUAGCGGUGAAAUGCGUAGAUAUUAGGAGGAACACCAAUGGCGAAGGCGGCUUACUGGACUGUAACUGACGUUGAGGCUCGAAAGCGUGGGGAGCAAACAGGAUUAGAUACCCCAGUAGUC
rnacentral:rRNA from 1 species